AUUGAACGCUGGCGGCAUGCUUUACACAUGCAAGUCGAACGGCAGCGCGGGCUUCGGCCUGGCGGCGAGUGGCGAACGGGUGAGUAAUGCAUCGGAACGUGCCCAGUAGUGGGGGAUAGCCCGGCGAAAGCCGGAUUAAUACCGCAUACGACCUGAGGGUGAAAGCGGGGGACCGAAAGGCCUCGCGCUAUUGGAGCGGCCGAUGUCGGAUUAGCUAGUUGGUGGGGUAAAGGCUUACCAAGGCGACGAUCCGUAGCUGGUCUGAGAGGACGACCAGCCACACUGGGACUGAGACACGGCCCAGACUCCUACGGGAGGCAGCAGUGGGGAAUUUUGGACAAUGGGGGCAACCCUGAUCCAGCCAUGCCGCGUGCGGGAAGAAGGCCUUCGGGUUGUAAACCGCUUUUGUUCGGGAAGAAAUCCUCUGGGCUAAUACCCCGGGGGGAUGACGGUACCGGAAGAAUAAGCAGCGGCUAACUACGUG
rnacentral:rRNA from 1 species